rnacentral:rRNA from 1 species
UACGUAGGGGGCGAGCGUUGUCCGGAUUUAUUGGGCGUAAAGAGCUCGUAGGCGGUUCGAUAAGUCGGACGUGCAAUCUCCACGCUCAACGUGGAGGGGCCGUUCGAUACUGUCGUGACUUGAGUCCGGAAGGGGCGAGUGGAAUUCCUGGUGUAGCGGUGAAAUGCGCAGAUAUCAGGAGGAACACCAAUGGCGAAGGCAGCUCGCUGGAACGGUACUGACGCUGAGGCGCGAAAGCGUGGGGAGCGAACAGG